CUAACUUCUAGGGUUUCCAUCUCGCUCUCUCUCUCUCUCUCUCUCUCACACACACACACACACACACACACAGCCUGAUCUAUCUAGGGGCUUGCAGCUCCAGCCCCCAUGUUUACUUUCCCCGUAUGAAAGUUCAUAUAUUGAUUAUUCAGCUGAUCAGACAAUUCUCUGGUGACAUUUUGCUAGAGGCUUGGGCGUCAGAUAUUGUGUAAACGGGGAUCAGAAAUAAACGUCUGGGGCAGGCUAAGUCUCACUUAGAAUGCUUCUCCUAUUCUAUUUUGAAACUGGUGCUAUGAUUUUUUUUUUUUAAUGGCUGGAGCAAUCCGGAAACAGAUUAAAUCAUUCGCUUUUUCUUUUUUAACUUGAUUUACUGGUACACUCUGCGUAAGAAAUUGGAACUGUAGCACAGAAUGUUGCACUGGGGUUAAACAAUGGUGGGAAUGGAAAUGGUUUCUUCCGAGAAGCCUAGAUAAAGUACUCGGGUACUGAUAACUGGCUCACAAAGAGGCUGAGCCGGGAGGUCCUGACUCUCGACGGCAUCCGAGCCCCAGCUGCAUCCACUCCUCCUUUAAUUCCUCAUUCAGUUGGUGCCUUUCACAGGAGGCUCUCCCCAGGCACCCUCUGCACCCUCAUGGGCUGGCCGAGUUCAUGCACCAGAAACGGAUGCAAAUCCUAGCUGGGAGCUAACUCACCAUGUCAUCCUGAUCCUGAUGGCCCUGUUUCCUCAUCUGUGAGAUGGAAUGGUGCUCUGACCUGCAGCAGAAUGUUCCUUAGAGACUUUAAAGAACCAAUCAGAUGCCCAUCUGACCAAGCCCCCAUCUCAAGACCUUACUGCUCUCUCUUCUAAACACUUUUUUGAUGACUGUGGAAAGAUGAACAAACCCGUGCACCCUAGUCAGAAGACAUACCUGCUCUGUGGCAGGACAGUGAUGCUCAUCAACCACUCAGGUGUUCCCCUGCAUCCGCCCACCUCCCCUGCACUUAGGUCCAGGCCAUGGGCUGUCUAAUGGCCACUGGCACUUCGGUCUAGGGCAGUUGGGACAGUUGGGAGUUCUCUCUACCAUCACUGUGACUUGCAGGAAAAACCUGAGAUGGUCGAGUUGCAAGACAGAACUGCCCGGAUCCUGGAGCCACUGUGAGGAAAGUCACUAUGGAGAGCUGCCUGAUUUGUAUUAUGCUA
rnacentral:lncRNA from 1 species